rnacentral:rRNA from 1 species
CACGGGGGGAGCAAGCGUUGUUCGGAAUCACUGGGCGUAAAGGGCGUGUAGGCGGUCAAGUAAGUGGAAUGUGAAAGCCCCCGGCUUACCCGGGGGAUCUGCAUCCCAAACUGCUUGGCUUGAGUACGGGAGAGGAUAGGGGAAUUCCUGGUGUAGCGGUGAAAUGCGUAGAUAUCAGGAGGAACACCGGUGGCGAAGGCGCCUAUCUGGCCCGAUACUGACGCUGAGGCGCGAAAGCUAGGGGAGCGAAUGGG